AGAGUUUGAUCCUGGCUCAGGAUGAACGCUAGCGAUAGGCUUAACACAUGCAAGUCGAGGGGCAGCAUGGUCUUAGCUUGCUAAGACUGAUGGCGACCGGCGCACGGGUGCGUAACGCGUAUGCAACUUGCCUCACAGAGGGGGAUAACCCGUCGAAAGACGGACUAAUACCGCGUACACUCCAGCUUGGGCAUCCAGGUUAGAGGAAAUGAAUUUCGCUGUGAGAUAGGCAUGCGUCCCAUUAGCUAGUUGGUGAGGUAACGGCUCACCAAGGCGACGAUGGGUAGGGGAACUGAGAGGUUGAACCCCCACACUGGUACUGAGACACGGACCAGACUCCUACGGGAGGCAGCAGUGAGGAAUAUUGGUCAAUGGGCGAGAGCCUGAACCAGCCAAGUCGCGUGAAGGAUGACUGUCUUAUGGAUUGUAAACUUCUUUUAUACGGGAAUAACAAGAGUCACGUGUGGCUCCCUGCAUGUACCGUAUGAAUAAGCAUCGGCUAACUCCGUGCCAGCAGCCGCGGUAAUACGGAGGAUGCGAGCGUUAUCCGGAUUUAUUGGGUUUAAAGGGUGCGUAGGCGGCCUGUUAAGUCAGCGGUGAAAUCUAGGAGCUUAACUCCUAAAUUGCCAUUGAUACUGGCGGGCUUGAGUGUAGAUGAGGUAGGCGGAAUGCGUGGUGUAGCGGUGGAAUGCAUAGAUAUCACGCAGAACUCCGAUUGCGAAGGCAGCUUACUAAGGUACAACUGACGCUGAAGCACGAAAGCGUGGGUAUCAAACAGGAUUAGAUACCCUGGUAGUCCACGCAGUAAACGAUGAUAACUGGGCGUAUGCGAUAUACAGUAUGCUCCUAAGCGAAAGCGUUAAGUUAUCCACCUGGGGAGUACGCCGGCAACGGUGAAACUCAAAGGAAUUGACGGGGGCCCG
rnacentral:rRNA from 1 species